rnacentral:tRNA from 1 species
GCGCCGCAGCUCACCUGGUGGGUGAGACCUGCCUUAUCAGCAGGCCGUGGUGAGUUCGAUUCUCACGCGGCGCAC